GUUAACCUAACAGACAACUGUGGUCACAGCUCAAAAACUCAGUUACAACUAGGGGCACCUGGGUGGUUCAGUCGCUUGAGCAUCUGACUUAAUUUUGGCUCAGGUCACGAUCUCAGGGUCCUGAGAUCAAGCCCCGUGUCUGGCUCCCUGCUCAAUGGAGAAUCUGCUUGGAUUUCUUUCCUUUGCUCCUACCCCUGCUCAAACUCUCUUUCUCUCUCAAAUGAAUAAAUAAAUCUUAAAAAAAAAAAAAAACAAUACAAAUAAAAGAACUCAGUUACUUCUGGAACCCUGGUAUCAGUUCAGCCACUAAGACCACUAAGACAACGGCUGAGCUCUUCAUGUCUCUGAGCUGCAGUUUCCUUUCAAAAGGAAAACACUGGACUGGAAAAUGAUGAAAUAGUCAGGUGGAAUCCGCACUCAAUGAUUUAGAGCAAAGUGUUUACAAUAUCCCAAUCGAUAUCCAAACUAUUAAGAGAGUCUAAACAGGCAGUUCUGUUCCCCACUUGACCUUCACAAAUUCUCUCUCCUUCUCCAGAGCUAGAUCAUUUACAUAUUUAUAUAAAUAUGAGAUUCCUUUGAAUCUCAACACAGAUUCAGAAAUUGUUAAAAUUGGAAUCUCAGUAAUCAUUGGGUAAGUGAUGCAAGACUCAUUUUACUGAUUGUAAAAAUCAGUUAUGAUCUGUGCAAGGACAUAUCCCAGCGACUGGGGACCCAAACCUGGACAGGACACCUGGCUCUUCCAAUUCCAUCAUGACACUUUUCCAAAUGAUUCCUGGGAGCCCCCUGAUGCAAACGUCUAUAGCUGCAACUCUGUCUCCACCACAGACAGAAAGAGAAAGGACAGAAAAGUUUAUGCAUCAUGAGCCAAGGGUUUACCUGCUGACUUGGACGCAUAGGGGAAAUUACACUCAUUAGGAAGAACAGUGGGGGCAUGAGAAAGAGACGACAAAGAUCUUCGGAAACCAGCUCCCCGCCAUCCCCUUUGCUCUGACUCAAGAGUCUUGCCAGAGGCAGGGGACAAUACAUUCACCACUCAGCCUACGUAUUAGUGAAAGACAUUUUAUGUAGCUUGAUGAAAAGAUGCCUGAAAGACAAAGUGACAAGCCUUCAAAUCCCAAAAAGUUUCAAAACGUCAACAGAGUUCUAUGAACAAGUGGUGUUCUGAGAUCAGAUGCCACCGUGUCUUUGACAUCUCUUAUUAAGAGAAAGAGGACCUAACUGAGGAAUCACUGUGUUAAGUCUAUUCUCCAGUCACAAAGGAUGUGAAUCAUCAAGGCACAAAGCACUAGAGUUCCUUGUCUUGCAGCUGCCAACCUGGCGUGAACUGAGAGACAUCUUCUUUGAAGUUAUCACCUCAUCAGUAUUCAGUUGAGCUGACGUUUUCCUGGCAUGCCCUAUGCUCCUGCUUAAGCUCACACUGGGAGGGGAGGCACCUGAUUAUAAAUGAGAGGGCUGAAGGAUCUUCUUUAGAUGUGACAGUUUGAAAAGAAUGUUUGUGGAAGUGGUUACUUGAGAGUAGCCUCAAGGGCAAAUUCCAACAAAAUCAACUCUAACACUUAAAAUUAGAGGCAAAGAUUAUUUAAACAGAGUGAAGUGACCAUGGAUUUGAAUGUCUUGAAAGAAUUUAAGGCAUUUCCCAGUAAGUUUAAAGAAGUUUGAUUAUUUUUCUAUAAUUAGAAGGAAACAUGGUAGGAAAGAUCACCUAUUCCAUCCUCAAUUUCCUCUUUUGUGGAGCAGUAAAAUCUCUAAGCAGAUGACAAAUUUUUCAAAUCUCAUUGCUGAAAGCUGUUACCUAGCAACUAGUGACUUAAAUUAUCAAGGGGAAAAAACCCUACAUUCUAAGACAAUUUGAUACUCUAAGGACAAUCAGAUUAAGAAAAAACAAAAUAUUCCUGUAUUUCUCCAGUAUAGUUUCUCAGCGAUAUUAGGCGAAAAUACCUUUGAGCAAAAAUAUAGAAGAUAUUCCUCAAGGAGUGCCUGGCUAAGCAUCGGACUCUUGAUUUCAGCUUGUGAGUUCUUUCCCUUACACACGUGUGUGUGUGUGUGUGUGUGUGUCUGUGCACGCAUCCUGUCCUCUAUCUCUUGCAAAUAAAUAAAUCUUUAAGCACACGAAAAGAAGAUCUAACUCAAGCCAUACCUAGAGCAGACCCACUAAUCCACUCUGUAAAGAUAGGUGAUAAUCAAGAAAAAGCUACACCACAGAAUUUAUGAUUCUCUCUGGUAUCAUUUUAGGUACAGAGGGUGAUUUGCAUUUACUUACCUAAUAAGAGCUUGUUGUAAGAAUCAAAUGGUGUUUAACUAGCAAUCCACAUUUUACUGUUAAUUGUCACGUAGUCUCAGCAUCAGAUUUAAUGAUCAUUUCACAUUUAAAUCAUAGAGUAAUCUCCACUCACACCGUCUUCAUUUGGAAUGUUCUAGGAUGACUUAAGAAGCUACCCCUUUCUUUCCUAUCUGCUUCUCCUGCCCGUCUUUUUUUUUUUUUUUUUUUUGACUGACUGACUGACUGACUGACUUAAUUAAUUUAUUUUAGAGAGAGCGAGCAAGUGAGCAAGCUAGCCAGAGGAACAGAGGGAAAGAAUCUCAAACAGCCUCUCCGCUGAAUGUGGGGCCCAAGGUGGGGCUCCAUCCCAUGACCCUGAGAUCACAACCAUGAGCUUAUGACCUGAGCUGAAA
rnacentral:lncRNA from 1 species